rnacentral:rRNA from 1 species
UGGCGGACGGGUGAGUAACGCGUAAAGAACUUGCCCUUUAGACUGGGAUAACAGAGGGAAACUUCUGAUAAUACUGGAUAAGUUAGUAUAUCGCAUGAUAUGCAAAUGAAAGCUACGGCACUAAAGGAGAGCUUUGCGUCCUAUUAGCUAGUUGGUAAGGUAAGAGCUUACCAAGGCGAUGAUAGGUAGCCGGCCUGAGAGGGUGGACGGCCACAAGGGAACUGAGAUACGGCCCUUACUCCUACGGGAGGCAGCAGCC